CCAUCUCAUCCUUCCUUGAAACACUCUUAAGCAAAGAAAAGCCGAGUUCUUACCUUGUAAAACAAGAUAAAAGGACUCCAACAAAUCUACAGCUUCUCCACUCUAUCAAGUCCAGUUAAUAACAGGGAAAAUUUCAAGAACAGGGCAUGCUUGGAACCUUAUUUGAUAAAGAAAGCACAAUGUUCGGCAAUCUAUAGAAGGCCUUCACAUUUUGUACAAACGUCAGUCCAAAUGCCCUUCACAUUUGGCCUAAAAACCUGAACCCUUUAUUGAUUAGGGCUUCAAGGGCGCCCUUUUCCAUAAUAAUUCUACAGCAAAUUGCAGGAAACAGAAGACAAUGUGCAUCUAUCAUCCAACAACGCAAUAACCAAUCUAUCACAACAAAUUUACUUCUUUCCUCUUCCUCCUCAUGUUUUCAAGCGAAUAGUACCCAAAUUUGGACCCAACCAAAAAAAAGGGAAAAGCGAGUGCAGUAAAGGUCUUUAUCAUAUUCUAAUCAAAGUGCCAAACAGAGCUAAAUUACAGAGAAACUUCAAAAAUGAAAGAGGAAAAAAGAUACAAGCUUUUUUGUUUUUUUAAUAUAGAAAAAACCCCAUAUGAACUGAAGAAACUCUACUCAGGAUUGGGAUUUUACUCCUCCUCACCAUUUCCUCAAAAGCUAAGCUGAAAAUUCUCCCUUUCUUUUUCGCCAACUAUUUUUCCGUCAAAAGACUACGCGAAAUUGAGGGGCGUCGGAGCCUUGAGCCGGCAGAAUCUCCCAGCGGCAAGGUUCGAGCUCGUCAGAAACAGGGCAGAAGCCGGCGAGGGUGACCUUAUCGGCAGAAGCGGCAAUGGAACCGAAUUCGAAAACGGUGAUAUCAGCUGGUGGUGGGCCAGGCCGCCGGACCUCCACUGCUCCGUUCAUGCCGGGAACUUCAGAAGCGGAUUGGGUUUUAACCGGUUCGGAUGUUUGGGUCGCGGGUUUGGAGUUGGUAUCGUUUUUGGUUCCCUUGAACCAUGAAAAAAUACCCAUUGGUGGUGAAUCAGUUAUGUUGCUUACAAAAUGAACUUCCAGAGAGAGAAAGGGUGCAGGGAUUCUAGGCAUUCCAGUUUUAUUUGAGGAAGAAAUCAAGAAAGAGGAUAGCUUUCGUUGAGGGCAAAAUGACGACAAUGCCAUUUAAUUUUUGUUACUAGUAUCAUAUUUUGGGACAGAAAUAGAAGGAUAUUUAACUAUUAGAUGAUCAUAUGGACUAUGGAGUAUUUAGAUUUCCAAUGUUAUUUCCCUGUAUAAUAAACCAAGGAAAAUCUGAUGCAUUUUUUAUUUUUCUCUAUCUGGUUUGGAAAAAUGGAUCUAGAAAGCUACUACAUAUUUUGGAUUUGUUAGUGAAAUUGUUUUGAACUCUAUAAAUAGAGUAAUUUCAUGUUAUAAGUUUAGUUAGUUUUUACAAAGAAAUAAACUCUUGUCCUUUAUUUCUUUUAUUAUUUUUCUCAAUAAUUGUAACAUUUUCAAUAUUAUUUCGCUGUAUAAUAAACUAAGGAAAAUCUGAUGCAUUUUUAGAAAGCUAGAAUUCAUAUUUUUGGAUUGAGGAAUAAACGCCAUGAUUAUGUGGCAAGUUAUUCAUGUAGCAUGAUGGAUGGAUUAAUUUGCAUUUUGGCCUUCAACUCUUUGGUGAGCUGCAUCUGCUGUGAGUCACCCUUUAUUUGUUUAGUAUUUUUUUUCUCUUACAUACACAGCCAUUUUUGUGCUCCUAAAAAAGUGGCAAAUCCAGAGAAACUUUUAGAAAUAAAUCAAAAUUGGGAUCAGACCCUUUUGUUAUCUAAAAUUGAAGAGUGAAAAGAGGGUUGUCAUUCUCAAAUUUCGCACAAUGCUAUAGCCAUUGCAAUCUUUAUGUAGACUUAUGGGCAAAUUGAUUCCUGUACUCAGUUAUCAUUGAGCUCAUGAUCUCACAAGAAUGCUUCAUUUGCUGAAGUUAAAAUUGAAGAAAAACAGUUUAAAAAAAAUACAUUAACAAAAUGCAGCAUAUGAACAAGAUGAUGAUGCAAUGCAACGUACUACACGCAGUGGAGAAGAUAGAAAACAGUGUCGUCAACAACAGGGAGGGAAAGCAAACAAAGAGAAAGGAAAGCCACAGGAUGUUUACUUCUUCUUCCCCCAUAGCCGGCGGCUUCUCCAUUUCCCAUCAUCGGCAUAGAAACCAAUGACAAUUUCAGGAAUGUGUGCCAUUCUUCUGUAAUCUUCCCUGUCUUCCUUCUGAUUCCCCACCUUCUCUAUCAGUCGAGAACUCAUCUCAUACAAAGACAGCCGUUGAAGAUGGCUCAAGUGCUGAAUUCCCGAAGGUAAGUCCUCUAGUGAUGGAAGCUGUCUCAGAUGUAGUCUUUGGAGAUAAGGGCAUGCACCCUCCUCCACUGUCAUCCAUCUCAACCCUUCCAUUCUCCUUAACCACAAUUGUUUCAGCUUUAGGAAGCCUCCAGCCUUGAAACUCAACCUUUCUCCCUGGUAAGAUCCACAGAAAGUAAUUUCACCCAAAUUGGGCAAAUGUUGGAAGGAUUCAAGUGGAUCCUCCUCAGCCCUCAACCCGCUCCAGAUCAUAAGUAUUUUUACCAAGUUUUGAAGAUGAGUUAUCCACACUGGCAUCGUUUCUAAGCGGCCACACAUAAUUAGCAUACGAAGAGAUUGAAGAAACGAACAAGAAGAAGAAGAAGAAAGAGAAUGUUGAUGAUGAUUUAGAUCUAUUAUCUCAGAAUCAUCACCUUUUCCAAUUGAUUCAAUGCUUAAUUCCCGAAGGCUGGUGAGGUUGACAAGGGAGGAGCAGAGCUCCUUUCCAUCUUCUCUUCUCAACUGUGUAAUAUAUAACUCUCUUAAUUGGGUCAAUUUUCCUAUCUCUUUAACUAUUACAGACCCGCUGCUUGCAUCUACGGUGUUUAAUGUUUGUAGAGCGAGAAGCCCUCCCAAUUUUGACGGACCUUUAAACCCAUGAAAUCCAUAAUCACUAUCUGAGGGAUCAACUCGUUGGAAUACUGUGAGAUGCCGAAGCUUUUGCAGCUUUAGGAUUUCCACGGGUAAUUCCCUAACUCCAGUGUUCCCCAAAUUCAGAUGUUCCAAAUGUUGAAGCUUUCCAAUAGCUCUCGGGACUCUUGCCACUUUUGUACCAUAUAGGCUCAGAAACGUGAGAUGCAACAAGUCGAAAACCUCAUUUGGUGUUUCCUCUAUCUCUUCACCUCGCAAUUCCAAAACCUUUAGCAACUUACUACUCCUUAGAACUUCAGAUAGGAAAGUUUUGGAUAGCAAUGGGUUGGUGGAACUAACUGCGAUGAAUGAUCGAAGGUGUUCAAAAGAAUAAAAUUGUCUUUGUUGGUGGUAUUGGAUGAUGCUGCUGUUGCAACUACUAUGGAUUGCUAGACGGCGUACCUUCUCAGAUGGCCACGUCAUUGGUUGUCCAGUAGUAACUGUGACCAUGUUUUGUUCCCUUGACUUGAUGAGAAUAACUUCUCUCAUUAAGUCAUGGAUUCGACACGUGUUGGGUGAUCCUUCAUAAAACACUUCAGUUACUUGAAUUAGGCUUCUACUGAUGAGUUCACUGAGAUAGCCCCAGGCUACAUCUUCAAUACUCAUUCCUUCUCUCCAUUCUACAAAUCUUUCAGCAAUCCAUAAUUGAAUCAGCCUCUGGCAUGCUAUUAGAUGAUCCUCCGGAUAAAUGCUUAAAUACAACAGACAGGGUUUGAGAUGCGAAGGCAGAUCGUUGUAACUCAGAGAAAGUAUUCUUUUAACUCUCUCUAGCUUACCCCCAAGAUUGUGUUGAAUCAUCUCCCAUUCAUCUAUUCUGCUCACGUCCUUCGAAGCCAAGAGCCCACCGAUCGCAAGAAUCGCCAAAGGCAAACCGUCACAUUUAUCCAAUACAGCUUUUGCAACAUUCAUCAGGUGGGUGGGGCAACGAUUUCCUUUAAAGAUCUUGUUACAAAAUAGGGUCCACGAAUCUUCAUUUGAUAGUGGCUUCAUUCUGUAGACAUAAUCCUGAGAUUCUGUACAAGAGGUAGAGGCUACAUCGGCAUUUCGUGUUGUUAGCAUGACACGAUUGCCGUAGUUACCCUCAGGCAGUGCAAAUUUGAUUUUAUUCCAAAAUUCCACGUCCCACACGUCAUCAAACACAAUUGCAUACCUUCCAGCUUGUUGAAGAAAAUCUUUGACAAUUUCUUUCAGCUCAGCGGUAGUCAUGGACUCGAUCGAUUGUGGGACUGAUUUGUCCAAGUCCUUGUGCAACUUCCGAAUCAAGUCUCUCAGGAGCUUUGGAAAGUCGCAUGUUUGAGAGACGGUUACCCAUGCACGAACUGGAAAAUUCUUUCUAACUUUUGGAUCUUCAUGGACCUUUUUGACUAGGGUAGUUUUCCCUAGUCCAGCCAUACCAACCACUGAAAUAACUUUGAGUUGGUAAUCGUGCCCCUCGAGAAGCAUAGAAAUCAGAUGUUGUUUGGGCUGGUCAAUGCCAACCAAUUUUGCUUCCUCCACUAGAAGUGCAUCAUCCCUGCUAUAGAGCCGCGAGCCUUUCAUGGUUGAAGAUCCAGUGACACGGUGAUCGAUGCCAAAUUCAACUUGGUAUCUCUGACAUCGUUCUGAAAUAUUUUUUAUCCUGGACUUGAUGCUUUGAAUUUCACUGGCAACCUGAUGACGAGCUGGCAAGCUCUUAAUGGCUUUGAGAAUUCUCUGCAGGGAGCCACAGAAUCCAUGAUGUCUGUGGCCAGCAAAGCGAAGUACAAAUUCAUCGAGAACAUCUUCAAUGUCAUAAGCAGCUCCGCGCACUUGCUUGAUCCAUUCUUGGAGCCUGGGAUUAGAGGUGUCAAAAUGAGUGACUUGAGCGGGUUUAGAUAGGGUAAAAUGGGUAAUGGAUAUAAGUGAGUCAAUCCAUUUAUAUCCAUUUUAUUAGAUGUGUAUAAAUGGGUAAGUCAAGAAAUGAAUUGGGUAACCCAAUUAUCCAUUUAUAACCAUUUAUUUUAACUUUUUGGAAACUCAUUAAAAUUCUUUUUCGCAAACUAAAUUAUCAAUUUAUACCGCUCUUUAUACCCAUCAUUAAUUUUAAAUAUUUACUUAUAAUGCUCAAUAAGUUUAAUUACCAAUUUUUUUUCCAUUGACACUCUAUGUCGCAAAAUUACAUAUUAUUUAAUAAUUGAAUAAUAAGAAUAUAAAAAUUUGAACUAAAUACUAUAAAAAUUAAUAUAAAAACUUAAUCUAAAAAUUUUGAACCCCUAACAUUUUUUUCAUAUGUAAAUUUAAAUUUUCAUUUUAGUAAGAUAAGAAAAGAAGCUAAAACUUAUCAUAAAUUAGUAAUGCUGAAAAAUGAUUAAGUAAACAAACUAAGAAAAAAUAAAAUAAUAAGAUAAACCAACAAAUAAUAAUAAUAAUGAAACAAAAAUAGUUAACAUCAUGACAAAAUGAAAAAUCUAAAAAAAAAAUGGGUGGAAAAAGAGAAUUCUAAAUGAAUUAAUUGAAUUUAAUGGGUUAUCUAAUAAUAUAAAAAAAUUUAAAAUACCCGUACCCAUUAUUCAUAGACGAAUAUGAGUAAAUUUAAUUAAAUGGAUUGAUUUGCCACCUAUACCUGGGCUCAUCAUCUUCUUUUGGUUCAGCCACUUUGAGGAAAGCUCUCAUCUGCCCCAACUCAUCCAUGAUGAAUUGGACCUCUUCUCGAAGCCCUCCCAACAGGCUUCCCUCCUCUCGGAGUAAGGUUGCGAGAUGAUUUGAAACAAGAGAGACAACAGUUUCUGCCAUUUGUAUUGUUUUUUGUUAUAUAUAUAUUUUUUUCAAGAAGAAGAAGAAGGAGGCAGGGUUUUAGCUUCUUUUUAUAUGGUUAUGAGUAGAAGAAUGGUUUUAACAUCAAAUAUUUUUGGGUGCCUGAGAAGGAUUUAUUAUAUAGGAAGGAAGGCCUUGGUGGGGAUCAGGUAGAUUCCAUCGGAAGUAAUGCUCUUUCUCUACCUUCCUUGUUCCCCAUGGUUUGGAAUUUGUAGAAAGAAAGUUGAAAUGAUUUAUUCUUUCUUCACGUUCGAAAAUUAGUAUCAUAGUUAGAGCUGAAGCACCACUUUAGGAAUAAAUCAGACCUUACGAGUAAGAAAAGAGAUAGACAAACAUGGCUUUAUUCUUCUUGUCCUUUUUAUUCUUACGUCAAGUCUUAGCUAUAUCAUCUUCAAAGGCUCUCAAAUAUAAGAAGCACAUUCUCAUUGAGUCUCUGUUAUUCUCAUCUAUUAUUCUCAUUGAGUACUACCAAAGUAUGAGGAAACAAAUUCAGUAGCAGGUUAUUUGUCUUUUCUAUUUACAACGUUUGAUGCAAGACAACUUUUGCAAUGAAUGAGGCUAACCAAAAAAAUAUACAUAUAUUUUGGAAUUAAGGGGAGAGAAUCUACUUUAUAGAAAGCAAGAAUUUUUCUUCUUACAGUAAAUCAGGCUAACUGUGCUAUUAUUAAGAACCCCUCCAGUUAAUGUUGGCCAAGAAUUAUUCACGAUUUACCUUCUUCUUGCAAUAAUUUAUUCCGUAGGGUAGAUAGAAUCAACUUGAAAUGUUGUUUGGAUAGCAAAUUUUUCUUCAAAAAUUUUUCGCUUCCAUCAUAAACACAUUUCUCAAUCCAUCUUUUUAUAUUCCCAAUCAUAUUUUUAUCUCACAUAUAUCGCAUCAGAAAAAAUGUUACAGUAAUUAUUCCAAAUAAUUAUUUGAAAUAAUACUCUAUCCAAAUAUUCUUUCUUCAAUACUGCAAAUGAGUAUCAUUUAAGGUUGAAGCACCACUUUUGGUGUCAAUAAUAAGAUAAAUAAAGAUGGCUUCAUUCUUCGUAUCCAGAAUAUUCUUACUUCAACUCUUCUGUUAUCCUCUUUGACAGCUUUCGAAGGAAAGAAUACACUUUCUCAAUUAAUCUCUGUUAUUCUGUGUCAGCGUGACAUUGCUUAUACCUGGUGCCAAGUAUUGUUGCUUAUGAUAUUUCAUAUGCAUAAAUUUCAUUUUCACCAGAUAGAAUAUUGUAAGUGAGACCAAACCAUGCUUCAAAAAAUCCAGUUCAAUUUCUGUGUUGCCCCAACAUAAAGAAGAAAAUAAUCAUGGACUGUUGAAACAAUUAUGGUUUGUAACUUAAUUCCGAUAAAACUUUAAUAAGUAACACCCAUUAUCAGGAUUUAAGUAAUCUAGUUAAAACAACCAGACAUGACGAAUUUUUUUUCCAGAUUUAAGGAUUUCCAUUGGUCACCCCCUGGCAAUAGGAUCACCCAAAUUCUGAAGCUCUCAAAUGCAUGUGGAAUUGUUUUUAACUUUUUGUUCUCCUUCAUUUGGGAUUUCGUUAAAUUCGCACCUCCAAAAUCCAAAACCUUAAUCAACUUACCUGAUAAGAGAACAGAUUUUGGAUAGUGACUCCAUGGACCAAUCUAUUAUCUUUUACUAUAUUAAAAGUUCGAUGAGUAUUGGCAUCAUAUGUUAUAAGCACUUUUUUAUCUUAGUUUUUGUUGUAUCCAUAUCACCCUCAUCUUUCAAUUAGAGUUAUUACAUUUUAAUUUUGGUAGUAAUUAAAAAUACGAAACAUUUCAAUUGAUUAAACCUCAAUAAUAAUGAUAAUUAAGAUGAAAAAACUCCCUAUUAAAACUAUUUAGCGACCCUUGUACUCCAUCUUCAAUUCCUAUAUGUGUCAAAGUUUCUUAUCCAAAGCAAUUUCUUACUUGAAAUUAUGUGACCAAUUGCAUUAGCCACAAUUUUGAUAUCGUAAAAAAUAUUAGUAUAAAAAAAAAUAGGUGCUCUUGGGAAAAAAGAGAAAUAUAUAAGAAGAAAAGAGUCCAUAUUCAUUUGAAGAAUCUUGAUAUGAAUAUCGUGUGACAGAUAUAUAAUUACGUGCUUUUUAUCGGUGUGAAGAAAUGCUAAGAGAAAAGAACAAAUAAAAGAAUCCAACCAUUUCUAUCAAUUGAAUGUCAAUAGACAACUAAUAGACAAUGUAAGAUAAUUAAGCAGUAUAGAUCAUUUACAUUCUUUAUUAACCUCAAUAACACUUAAAAAUGUAAAUAUUCCAAAUUCAAUAAUACGCCUCACAUUAUUCAAUUCAAAUUCACAAAAAGAAAUAAAAGUUCAACUAGAAAGAUAUAACGUAGAAUAAGUAAAUGUUCAUGCGAAAUUAGAUAUUAGCACAGUUCAUAUAUUUUAUUCUUAAAUAAUUAUUCAUUCUAAUUAUACAAUUGCAUUUCAUUUGUCUUAACAAGGAAAAAAAUAACAUUCAAAAUGUUAUGGCAAAUAACAUUCAAAAUGUUUAUACAAAAUUUUCAUUUGUUAAAAUUUAUUGAUUUCAUUAGAAACUUAACCAUGGAUUUUAUUUUUAAGUAAAAAAAAAGGCAAGUCUAGACUCUGAUUGGUUAGUGAGCAAGCUUUCCAAGGGGUAAAAAAAGGGGUGAGUGUGGUAAAAAUAAUUAGAAUGACUGAUAGAACGGUUAUUUGGCGUAUUUUGCACUGUUAUUUUGUCCUAAUUUUGGCUAUUCACGGUACUAAGAAUUGGAAUUUCACUCAUAUUCGAUAUUUGUGUGAAUUGUAGGUGGUAGGCAUGAAAAAUGAUCUCGCGGGGUAAAUUUUCAGAAGACUUUCCGUCUCAGGGCGUGGCCACGCCUUAGAAGGUGGACGAAACCGAAAGCCGGACUGUGGUCCACGUGAACCGCGAGAAACAUGGGAUAAAAACUCCAAAAGGAUAGCUUUUGUUAGAUGAAUUACUCCAGACGUCUCCUUUCUUUACUUUCUUUUGGGCGGCGGCUAUAAAGAGAAAAGCAAGAUUCAAAAAGUGAAAAGAGACCCUAGCUUUAGCUUCAGAAGUCAGACGCUUUUUAUUUAUUCUUUUGCUCUCCGUCGGCCGCAAUUAGAUUAGUUUUGAGUUUUCUUUUUCUUCUCUUUCAGUCAGAUGUAUUUCUUUUUUCUUUUAGCUUUCGUCUUGUACGGCUUGACUCCUGAGUUGUUACUCUUGCUUGAGACAAUUCGCGUUGAAUUUCUGCUUUGUGAUUGCGACCCCAAUUCUUCGGCAAAUAAUCGAAUGAAUUCAAUUAAAUCACGCGAGAUUGACACGAUGAGGAGCGGCUAAUUUCCUCCUCUACCCAAAGGUUGACGCAAAGGCGCGGUCCAUAAUAUCUGUGAGAUCUAAUCGAAUCUUCAUUAUUUCUUUCAUUUUAUUGCUAUUCGUGCAUUUCCUGAAUUAAUUGUUCAUGGGUAUUUUAUUAAUUGAAUAUCAACGGCCGGGUAUUUGAUUUAAUUUAAUAGCCUACUGCCACGUUAAUUAAAUAGAAUCCGUAAUUGUUCAUUUAGUUAACACCCCGUGGCAACCACCAUAAUUGGCUUUAUGAUGGGGAAACGCAAUAUCUAAUUUAAAUAAACCCUCUUAGCGUGUUUAUUGGUUAGGGUUGUGUUCUUCUAGUUUUAAUGCAAUUGGGUAAUUAAAUUCCUACGGUCGUACCUAGGGUUGUUAUCUGGUUAGAGAAGCAGUCAAUAGUCGUACCUUGACUGUCGAAAAAGUAAGGAAGAACUGGUUGUCAGAGCUUAUUGAUAACUAUAACCAACCUAGCAAGGAAUAGAUGAAAUAUCUUUGCAUCGAUGAUCAUUUAAUUGGACCGUGCCUGAGCAGUUGAUCCUUUGGGUAGAACUUUUAUCAAUUGCUAUUUUUAUUGAAUUGUGCUUUGUGAGUUAGUUUUGAAUUUAGUUCGCUUUAUUUUUAUUUUACUUGUAUUCUAUUUAUUUAUCUCCCAUUGAAAAUCCCUCAAUUUUGUUCUACUAAUUUGGAAAGAAAUAAUUUCCUACCCGCUCCCUGUGGAAUCGACCCUACUUGCCAUUGUAUGCAAAAUUAAUAUUUUUAUAGACAAAUCCGGUAUAUCGGAUCAAGCAAACUCUUCGGGAACAGGGUGAAUCAAGUAACCCAUUGCACACCUAGGGUCCCUGCUCCAGUACUUGGAUUUGUUUUAUAAUUAUUUAAUUGAGGUGGUAAUUAGGACUUUUUAGUAAUUAUUAUUGCACAGGCUCGGCACCUGUCAAUUUUUGGCGCCGUUGCCGGGGAGCUGGCGUUUGAAUUUUUUGUUUCUUUUCAAAUUCAGUUUUUGUUUUAUUUUUAUUUUAUUCUAUUCUUUUUGGUAUUUUUGCUAGUUUAUGCCCCGUUCUUCUCGCACAGGUGAAUUAGUAUACGACCCUGAGGUUGAGAAGGCAGCACGUAGGCGGAGGCAAGAGACCAAGAGGCAAAAAGAAGGGCACUUACUUGCUGCAAACGAGUCAUCGGAAGACGAAAUAAGCAUGGCCAACACCCAAAUAUUGAGGGAAUUGGCUGCCCCGGAACUGACUCACCAGCCCUUAUGCAUCACAUUCCCCACUCUGGUUGAGAAUAUUGCUUUCGAACUGAAGUCGGGGCUGAUUCACCUCUUACCUUCUUUCCAUAGUCUCUCUGGUGAAGAACCCUACAAGCACGUUAAGGAGUUCGAGAUGGUUUGCUCUAGUAUGAAGCCUCCUGGGGUCACUGAAGAGCAAAUUAGACUGAGAGCCUUUCCAUUCUCUCUCAAGGAUGCAGCUAAAGAUUGGCUGUACUACCUACCAGCAGGUAGCAUUACCACAUGGGCACAGUUGAAAAAGAAGUUUUUGGAGAAAUUCUUCCCUGCAUCCCGGGCUGCGAGUUUGAGGAAGGAAAUCUGCAACAUUAAACAGUAUCCCGGGGAGUCCUUGUAUUACUAUUGGGAAAGGUUUAACAAGUUGUGCACUAGAUGCCCGUAGCAUCAAAUUAGUGAACAACUGUUAAUCCAAUAUUUCUAUGAAGGACUCCAGUCAACUGAUAGGAGUAUCAUCGACGCUGCGAGUGGGGAGCGCUGGCAAAUAAGACCCCGAGGGAAGCAUGGCUGCUUAUUGAAGCUAUGGCAGAGAAUUCUCAACAGUUUGGCUUCCGUGAGAGUAACCCUACCCGCAGGGUUAAUGAGGUGGAGUCGACAUCUAUUCAGCAACAGUUGUCAGAGCUCACAUCCGUUGUUCGACAAUUAGUUGUGGGGAAUGUGCCCCAAGUAAAGGCCUGUGAAAUCUGUACAAAUAUGGGCCACCCUACUGACUCAUGCCCUAUAUUGCAAGAGGAUGGGGCGGAACAAGUGAACAUGGCUGGAGGCGUGCCCGCGCCUCAUAGGCAAUACGAUCCAUACUCCAACACGUACAAUCCGAGUUGGAGAGAUCAUCCCAAUUUCAGCUAUGGAAAUAGGCCACAAAAUGCAUUCUCCAAUCGUCCACCAGGAUUUCAGCAAUCAUGGCAACCGAAACCGCAACCCUCAUCCUCCAACUCAGGAAGUUCCUUGGAGAAUAUUGUCAAGAGUCUGGCUACGACUACCGCCCAGAUCCAGUAAGAGACUAGACAGCUCCAGCAGGAGACCAGGUCAUUGACCACAAAUAUGGCUCAACUCCAGCAAGAAACUAGAGCCUUAACCAUGAGCACCAAUCAGUUCCAGCAAGACACAAAAUCAGGCAUGAAGGAUAUGGAGGCUCGAAUAAGCCAAAUGACAACUGCCAUCAAUCGCUUGGAGUCCCACAUCUAUGGAAAAUUGCCAUCGCAACUUGAGGCAAACCCCAGAAAUGUAAGUGCCAUGACAUUAAGGAGUGGCAAAGAGGUGGAUGGACCUAAAUUGGUAAAUUCGAAAAGCAAAAGUGAGGAGGAGAUUGAAAAGAAAGGGCGCAUUCGCGAAGAGCCUAAGGUAACGUCUAUUCCUUCGAUCCCUAUUAAAUCUAAUAUAGCUCAUUUUCCUUGCAGGUUGGAAAAGACAAAGAGGGCAGAAAAGGAAAAAGAAAUCCUGGAUGUGUUCCGCAAAAUUCAAGUAAACAUCCCCCUAUUGGACGCGAUCAAGCAGGUACCCAAGUACGCAAAGUUCUUGAAGGACUUGUGCGUCAACAAAAGAAAGCUAAGGAGUGAUGAAAGAGUGAUGGUAGGAGAGAAUGUAUCAGCUGUACUUCAAAGGAAACUCCCACCCAAAUGCGGAGAUCCAGGUAUGUUUGCUAUCCCCUGUAAGAUUGGUCAUUCUAGUAUCAAAAAUGCCAUGAUAGAUUUAGGAGCUUCUAUUAAUGUGAUGCCUAAGUCAAUCUAUGAUUCCCUAAAUUUAGGACCUUUAAAAGAAACGGGGAUAAUAAUUCAAUUGGCUGAUCGUACAUGUGCUUAUCCGGAUGGGAUAGUUGAGGAUGUUUUAGUGCAAGUAGAUGGAUUAAUUUUUCCUGCUGAUUUUUAUGUGCUUUACAUGGAUGAUAGAAGUGCCCCAAAUCCAUCACCCAUUAUAUUAGGAAGACCAUUUUUGAGUACUGCCCAAACUAAAAUUGACGUUAGUAAGGGUACUCUCACGAUGGAAUUUGAUGGAGAAAUAGUCCACUUUAAUAUUUUUGAUACAAUGAAACAUCCUGUUAACUCUCAUUCUGUGUUUGCUAUGUAUACCACUAAUCCCUCUGUGCAAGAAUUUUCUAAAUUUGCUUAUAGGGGUAAAUCCAAGGUUGCUGCGAACAAGUCCUAUAGGAUGAAAGCAAUUCAUGAGGUAAAAAUGGAGAGAAAAUUUAGGAAAAAAGUUGCACUCAAUGGCCAUGUGGAUCCUGGAGGAGGGCCACCAAUUACAAGGAAAAUUCAAUUACAUCCAGACUAAAGAGUGGUGCUGUGUCUAGCCAAAGACAUUAAAGAAAGGCGCUGCUUGGGAGGCAACCCAAGGCUUCUUUUGUUUUAGUUUUCUUAUAUUUUUUAAGUUUUUGUUAAGCGUUAGUGUCAUUUAGUGGGUUGUUAUUUUGUGACAGGAAGUUGGUAGCUAGACAUGCCCAUGCUAGGUCAUCACACCUAAGGAAUGGGGUUUUGGAAUUGACGGUCAGACGACUAUAACUUCUAAGGCGUGCCCACGCCUUCCAACCCUUCCGAAAAAGAAAGUUCAGUCUUCUCCUUCCUAUUGGUGUUGCGUCCGCCGCCACCACACCACCUUGUGCACGCAGCCGCCUCACCCCCCUCCGCCUUAGUAUCUCAUUUUCCCUCCCCGGAGUCAGGGAAGUUUCUCUUCUUUCCUCCUAUUACUUUAUUUUGUCUCUUCUACAUUGAGGACAAUGUAGGUCUUAGGUGUGGGGGGAGUGGCUUCCAUUAGUUCUUUUUCACUAGUUCUUUUUGCUUUGUUUUUUAAAAAAAAAAUGAAAACAUGGGAUGAAUGAAAAAAAAAUGAAAAACAUUGUAGUUAGUCGGCUUUUUGGUUAUUUAUAUACUUGUUAGUGUUGGGGCAUGUUGCUGUGAUAAAUGACAUAAUCAAAGUGAGUGGGUAUGUAGUCGGAUAUGCUAGCUGUGCAUUUUGCUUCCCUUGACAAUGUCGUUGAAUGUUGAAUAUGCUGGAAUUGACUCAUUUUUGAAACUUUUGGGAGCUUUUGAACCUUGCUUGAGUAUGUUAUUCUUGUUUGCUCGAUUUUGUUUGAUUGAGUGGGUAUCGCACAUGGUAUGAACAUUCUGGAACUUGCUAUUUUAUACAUGUCAAGACCACAUUCUGUUGAACUAGAUGCAUUUGAAAUGAUAAGGGCAUUUAGGAUUUGACCUCUUUGAGCUUUCGAAAGAAAAUCAUGCAUUCACCUUGUUUCCCAAUAGUGAACCAAUUUGAGCUUUAUCCUUCGCUUUUGGUUGUUACCCAUGUUCGUUAACCCGAGACCUCUUUAAACUUUCUUGUUUAUCCCUGUGUUGUCAAGGGAUGUCUGAAAUCCAUCAUUUGUGCAAAGCAAAUAAAUUUGGGGUUGCAAGUGCUGUUAGAUUAGGAGCUGUAUGAUUUUAUCCUUGUAAAAAGGGGGAGAAAUUGGAAAAGGCCACUGACCAGAGGACUUUGCCUUGCAGGGCGUGCCCGCGCUUUACAGGACUUUCUCCCUUGAAAAAAAAAAAAAUCCUGAAGAGACCUCGUGACCACAGGACUAUGGGCUCCAAGGCGUGCCCACGCCUUGCGAGCAGCUCUCUCCAAAAAAAAAAAAAAAAGAGAGAAAGAGAAAAAAAAUUGGGGACACUUGUACAGUGUGUACAGCAAAUGAAAACUGCCUUGUUUGUGGAACCCCUCCGAUAAGGCACUGUGGUUAUUGGUGAGUUUCGGACAUUCUCUUGACAUUUUACCCCCUAUCUACACCUUCUUAACCCGCCUUUCACCCGAAACCCCAUUACAACCCUAUUAAAGUCCCUUUGAUUUAUGUGUUUAGUUCACUUUUAAGUGGUGGAGAUGUGAUAAAUGUGCAAGCCUAUGGUAAUGGCAUUCCGUGAUGUUGAAUUGAGCGUUUCUAUUAUUCAUAUAUAUUCUUUGAAUUACAACAUGUCCGGUGUGUUCUACCUUUGGUGAUAUUGUCAGGGACCCUAGAUGCUUGUGUUAGUAUAGACUACUACAUGACCUCUGCUCUCUUGGUUGUACUUCUGAGCUCCGAAAUGCUUGAGGGCAAGCAUUGUCUAGGUGUGAGGGGAUUUGAUAGAACGGUUAUUUGGCGUAUUUUACACUGUUAUUUUGUCCUAAUUUUGGCUAUUCACGGUACUAAGAAUUGGAAUUUCACUCAUAUUCGAUAUUUGUGUGAAUUGUAGGUGGUAGGCAUGAAAAAUGAUCUCGCGGGGUAAAUUUCCAGAAGACUUUUCGUCUCAGGACGUGGCCACGCCUUAGAAGGUGGACGAAAUCGAAAGCCGGACUGCGGUCCACGUGAACCGCGAGAAGCAUGGGAUAAAAACUCCAAAAGGAUAGCUUUUGUUAGAUGAAUUACUCCAGACGUCUCCUUUCUUUACUUUCUUUUGGGCGGCGGCUAUAAAGAGAAAAACAAGAUUCAAAAAGUGAAAAGAGACCCUAGCUUUAGCUUCAGAAGUCAGACGCUUUUUAUUUAUUCUUUUGCUCUCCGUCGGCCGCAAUUAGAUUAGUUUUGAGUUUUCUUUUUCUUCUCUUUCAGUCAGACGUAUUUCUUUUUUCUUUUAGCUUUCGUCUUGUACGGCUUGACUCCUGAGUUGUUACUCUUGCUUGAGACAAUUCGCGUUGAAUUUCUGCUUUGUGAUUGCGACCCCAAUUCUUCGGCAAAUAAUCGAAUGAAUUCAAUUAAAUCACGCGGGAUUGACACGAUGAGGAGCGGCUAAUUUCCUCAUCUACCUAAAGGUUGACACAAAGGCGCGGUCCAUAAUAUCUGUGAGAUCUAAUCGAAUCUUCAUUAUUUCUUCCAUUUUAUUGCUAUUCGUGCGUUUCCUGAAUUAAUUGUUCAUGGGUAUUUUAUUAAUUGAAUAUCAACGGCCGGGUAUUUGAUUUAAUUUAAUAGCCUACUGCCACGUUAAUUAAAUAGAAUCCGUAAUUGUUCAUUUAGUUAACACCCCGUGGCAACCACUAUAAUUGGCUUUAUGAUGGGAAAAUGCAAUAUCUAAUUUAAAUAAACCCUCUUAGCGUGUUUAUUGGUUAGGGUUGGGUUCUUCUAGUUUUAAUGCAAUUGGGUAAUUAAAUUCUUACGGUCGUACCUAGGGUUGUUAUCUGGUUAGAGAAGAAGUCAAUGGUCGUACCUUGACUGUCGAAAAAGUAAGGAAGAACUGGUUGUCAGAGCUUAUUGAUAACUAUAACCAACCUAACAAGGAAUAGAUGAAAUAUCUUUGCAUCGAUGAUCAUUUAAUUGGACCGUGCCUGAGCAGUUGAUCCUUUGGGUAGAACUUUUAUCAAUUGCUAUUUUUAUUGAAUUGUGCUUUGUGAGUUAGUUCUGAAUUUAGUUCGCUUUAUUUUUAUUUUACUUUUAUUCUAUUUAUUUAUCUCCCAUUGAAAAUCCCCCAAUUUUGUUCUACUAAUUUGGAAAGAAAUAAUUUUCUACCCGCUCCCUGUGGAAUCGACCCUACUUGCCAUUGUAUGCAAAAUUAAUAUUUUUAUAGACAAAUCCGGUAUAUUGGAUCAAGCAAACUCUUCGGGAACAGGGUGAAUCAAGUAACCCAUUGCACACCUAGGGUCCCUGCUCCAGUACUUGGAUUUGUUUUAUGAUUAUUUAAUUGAGGUGGUAAUUAGGACUUUUUAGUAAUUAUUAUUGCACAGGUUCGGCACCUGUCAAUGACCAAAUCUAACAAGACAAUUUAUUUACUUUAAUACCCUUUUAGAAAUUGAUUUUAUGGUUUAAGUCUUUACUUUGCUAAUAAUUAGGGUAAAUUACUUGCAACCCUUGUGGUUUCAUAUGUUGCCAAAUGGCCCCCUCAACGUUUCAAAAAAUCCACUUCAUCCCCUUGUGGUUUUAUAUAAAGUGGAAAUUUGACAGAAAAUACCUAUGUAACGUCGUUAGUUGAAAUACUAAUAGUGCCCUUAUUUAAAUGCUACAUUAAUUGACGGGAUAAUCACUUUGUUCAAAAAUAUAGGGAGAUUAUAUGAAUAAAUGUAAAAAUCACAGGGAAUAAAAUGGAUAUUUAUACAAAUCAUAAGUUGGUUAUAUAACUAUUAAAAUUUUAUCACAUGCGUUUUAAAGCAAUUUUGGUACAAAUGCUGUAAAUGGUUAUGUAUUCCGUCCAUUUUUCAAUUUACAUAAAAUUACAUAGGGGUUGUGUGGCUAUUUUAAAAUCUUAGGGGGAUCAUCUGGCAUUUUUUAAAAUCACAAGGAGUAAUAAGGUAUUUACCCUAAUAAUUAUGAAUUCUAUUUUCUAAACUCACACUUGACAUGUAUACAUCUAUUUUUUGUUUAACAACAUCUUUUAAAGGGAUGACAAUUGUGGCGAGUACUAGGAAACUCAUGGGACGAGGGGUAAUUUUCAUCCUCUCUAUCCCUUGACCCGUUCCCUGCCUUAAAACAUACACACACACACAUAUAUAUAUAUAAUAUUAUUAGUUGUAAAUAUCAAAUUAUGCAUAUGUAAUAUAAUUAAUAUUCUUAGUUAUACUAAUAAUUAUAUAUUUAUACUAAUAUAAACUAUUGAUUAGUUGUACUAAUACAUUUUACUAAAUUACUAAUUAUACAUUUAUGCCAAAUACUAGUUACAUUUUUUUUUUACUAAUUAUAUAUAAACUUAUUUCCCUCGCAGGCACCUGUAGGGAAAGCGGGACGAGGUAGGGGUGGAGCGGAAGAAGUAGGGGAUAGGGGGUAGGGCAGGAGUAAGGUGUGCUUAGGCAACCUGGGGGAUUGGGAGGGGGUGGAAGGGAAUCAUUGCCAUUCCUAAUCUUUUGUAUGACAUUGAAAAAAUAAUAUUAUGAUUUAAUGGUAAAAAUAUUAUGAGUAUACAACAACUUUGGUGAAACACAACCGUAUUAAGAAUUGUUUAUCAAAGCUAAAUCCAUAAUAUACAAAAAGCUCAAAAUAAAUUUAAAAAAUUUGAAAAUAAAUUCAAAAAUCAAUAGAUCAAGGAGUUCCUAUUUAGAUACUUUUUGUAACAAUAACUGGUUAAAGAAAUUAAAAAUAUAAAAUAUCAUAUUAUCACGUACACAAUCAAAUUUCACAAAAAAAAAAUUAUAUAUAAGAGAUGUUAUAUUUGGGUUAAUAUAAUCACGUGCAAAGUACGUGAACUAUUACUAGUACGUAUAUAUAUGUUUGUACAUAGUGUUUUCACUAAGAGCAUGCCCUAUUUCAGCUAUAGUUUCUUCCGUGCCACUUAAAGAUUUGUACUAACUUGCAGAUCUUGAUAAAAUCUUUUGUGUAUAUAUAAGGAAAACUGAACAAUCCAAACCAGUAAUUUUAUAGUCUUUUCUAAAGAGAGCAAGCUGAAAAUCUAUUUGGAAUUUCCAUAAAUUCACACCACCAAAAUCAAAACACCAUUCAGGUUACCUAACUUGCCUGAUAAAAGAACAGAUAAGAAGUUUUUUAACUAGUGACUGCAUGAUCCAAAUCAAUAUAUAUGUUUGUAUCUAGAGCUUUCUCCAACAGCAAGCUCUUUCGGGUUUUGAGGAAGUAAUCAAGAAAGAGGAUAGCUUUUGACGAGGACAAAAUGACGAGAAUGCCAUUUAAUUUUGUGACUACGUAUUAUACUUUGGGACAGAAAUAAAAUGAUAUUUAACUCUAAGAUGAUCACAAUAUUUAGAUUUUCAAUAUUAUUUCACUAUAUAAGAAACCAAGGAAAAUCUGAUGCAAUUUUAGGAAGCUACAUAUUUUUCGAUUGAGGGAUAAACGCUGUGAUUCUGUGGCUAGUUAUUCAUGUAUGACGGAUUUAUUUGUUUAGUUUUUUUCUUAGACAGACAGCAAGAAGUUGAUGGGCUUCUUAGUAGUCCACACCCUCAGGGAUUUUCCGUCCCCUACAUUCCAGCGAUGCCUUGUUGUAGAAUGUCAUUGCCAAGUGAAAUCACCUUCAGAUUUAUAGAGCCAUACGAGAUGGUAAAAACCAAUUUAUUGGCCAAUAAAGAUUGAGGUCUAUUUACAUAUAAGUUUGAGAGAACUUUUACCCAAGGCUUGGGGGAGUCUUUUAGGAUGUGUCAUCCCAGUUUUGCUAAGCCUGCCUUGUUGACUAAAGCAAUUUGUUUGAUGCCAAGGCCACCUUGGUUCUUAUUGAGGGUGACAACGCCCCAAUUGAUCAGGUGGAUUUUUCUUUUAGAGGGGUUUGAAAAGCUGUUCGUUCCCUAUCAAUGGCAUCACAAAUCUUUUUAGGGACAUGUGCAGCUUGGAAAAAAUAGUUGGGAAUGGAAGCAAUACUCUGUUGGAUGAUGGAAUGUGUGCCAGCCAAUGAUAGAAGAUUAGCCUUCCAUCCUUCAAGUUUAUGUAGGACUUUUUCCAACAAAAAUCGGAAGGUUUUGGUUGGGGCUUUUUGGAUGUUGAGGGGGAUACUUGCCCAAAUCUGAGGUGGGACUGAUACCUAAAGGGUUGUUGGAGAAGAGAAUUUUUUACUUAGAAAGAUUAAUCUUCAAACCAGAGAACACAAAUUUGAUGGUUUUAAGAGAAGUUAGAUCAGUUUUGGAAUAGAGGACAAUGUCAUCAACGAAGAGAUAAUAAGAGAGGAAGUCCAUACUUCAACGUUCUGGAGGCCAAACCAACAAUCACACCAAUCUGGAUCAGGAAUCUGUUAAAGAUUAAUGCCAAGACAACCAACACAGAAAGGGGUCGUUUUGCCCGCCUCUGCAUAGAACUUGAUUUACACUCAACUUUGCGCCAUUCCAUCCUGCUAGACAGCUACUUGCAACCCAUCCAGGCGGAGAACUUCUCCUUCUGCCUACACCAUGGAAGGUUGUGUCAUCAUGACCUUGUUCAUUGCCCCAAACUACUUCACACUGUUCCUGCCCCAACCGCUCCACCGGAAUCUGGGCCAUGGAGAAAGCUUCCGGUUAAGCCCAAAGCUACUUCGAAAGGGUUACAGAAAGAAACCUCUAGCCCAACCCACCAAUGGUAAAAACAUUUCAAUUUCAAAUCUGACCUCCCAAUCCAAGCGCCAAAACCUUAGCCAGUCGCGGCAGACAACGUUAAAUGCGUAUAACAGACACAAACACAAAGCACAUCUAAACCAGUAGACAGACAGUCUAUAAAAGCCCAUCUCAUCCUUCCUUGAAGCACUCUCAAGCAAAGAAAAGCCAAGUUCUUAAAUUGUAAAACAAGAUAAAAGAACUCCAACAAAUCUACACCUUCUCCACUCUGUCAAGUCCGGUUAAUAACAGGGAAAAUUUCAAGAAAAGGGCAUGCUUGGAACCUAUUUGACAAAGAACGCACAAUGUUCGGUGAGCAAAUUAUUCGGAUGGCCACUAAAUUAUUAAAAGUUUGGUUUUGACUAUUAAAACGUCAAAGGUUAAUAUUCGAGGUCAUUCUGAUAGAUUUAAUCGUUAAGUAUGUCAGAUCUGACUACUCGUGCGAUUAUCAAGACAAAACAAAGGGACAAUUUAGGAAGUUCGACAAACAAUUUAUUUUGUCUUUGUCCUCUCUUAAAUUUACUCCCUCCAACAACUACAUCGGUGGCUAGCGAUUUCCUUUACAAAAUAAAUCUGUUCUCUCAUGAUAUCUUCUCCUCCAAAAUAAAUGAAAUCCCACGGCCCUUGACAUUCGUUCCGAACUGUUCUCUGUUUUCUCGCCUCUGUAUUUCUUCAACUUCAUCCUGUUUCCAGUAAUCUGGCAAAAUUUUACGAGACCUGUGGGAAUGUACUCAGCUGCGGCAGCAUCACUGGAAUAGGAUAUCCUUUCCGAAGAUACGAAGAUCCAACAUAUAUACUGUGGCUAUCCGGGGCUAGAGUUAAGAUGCGAUCAGAGCAGUAAUGUUACAAGAUUUGAGAUCAAGAACAUGACAUAUUGGGUCUUGGAUAACCAUCCAACCACCCAGACUUUGAGAGUUGCUAGAGAAGACGUGAUGGAGGACAAUUGUCCUACUGAUUUAGUAAACAUGACUCUAGAUUACACCUUGUUUGAUUACUCCGCGAGUUAUAUAAACAUCACGUCUCUCUAUGGCUGCCUAGUCAAUUUACCCAACGUUCUUUCCUGUGGGAGCAAUGGAAGCAAUAAUGCCUCUGUCUUGCCUGGAGAAGUUGGUCCUGGAAAUUGAGGGCCGUUGUGGUAUAUCCGAUACUUCAAACGGGUAAUGGAGGAUCCGUUAAUUUUAUUGGCUCGGAUCAAGUCCUUCGGCAAGGGUUCGACAUCAGAUGGAAAGCGGAUACUAGUAUACGCAAUGAGUGCACGAGGUCCGGUGGAAGGUGUGGGUACAGUGUUCGCUUAAAAAAUGGACAAAAUAAAUUGUUUGUGCAACUUCCUAAAUUGCCCAUUUGUUUUGUCAUAGGAAUCGCACGGAAAGUCAUAUUUGACAUACUUAACGACUAAAUCUAAUGGAGUGGCAUCGAAUCUUAAUUUUAGACAUUUCAAUGACCAAAAUCAGAUUUUUAAUAAUUCAGUGGCCAAAACUCGACGAUUGCAAAAGUUUAGUGACCAUCUUGAUAAUUUGCUCAUGUUCGGCUAUAUAUUGAAGGCCUUCAUGUGUGAAAUGUAUUUUCAUGUACACAUACUGGUACAUUUUGUACAAAUGUCAGUGCAAAUGCCCUUCACAUUCGGCCUAAAAAACUGAACCCUUUAUUGAUUAGGGCUUCAAGGGCACCCUUUUCACUAAUUUAAUUUUCCAUAAUAAUUCUACAAGAAGUCGCAGGAAACAGAAGAAAAUCUGCAUCUGUGAUCCAGCAACGCAAUAACCAAUCUAUCUAAAGGUGGCAAUAUGUCCCAUGUCCCAAUGGACUACCCAUUCCGGGAUAGGUAUUCUAAUUUUAAUGUUGAGUUUGAAAUGGGACUUAAUCCCAUUUAUUCCCAUUAAUUGAUGAGAAUUUUUAGGAAAUUCUUAGGUAUCCAUUGGGGCCCCAAGUAUUUCACUAAAAAUUUGCUCAAUCAAUUGUUGUAUGUCUUUUAGUGACACUUGUAAAUUACUUUUAUUCUUCCAACUAGGUCCUUCAUAUUUUUCUUGUAAUUAUGCUUAAACCCCCCAUCUAGUUUCCUGAGCUCUUUUGUCCCUUAGAAAUCAAAUUUUUUUAAUUUUUUCUUUUUUCAUAAAAAUUCUGUCGUCAGUCUCAAUUUAGAGUACUUUUUGAAAAAUAUCGAAAGAACGGGAACUUAAUGGUUUUGAACUCUUUUUCUAGUAAAAUACUGAUCAAAAUGAAUACUGAGAGUAAUAUGAAAGUCAUUAAUUUAUACUCUUAUUAGCAAAUACUUUGUCUAGUUUUGAUAGUUUUAUGAUGGCUUAUAGUUCUAUAUGCCAUUUCUUUAUACUCAUAAAGACAAGUCCUUUAAGUUUGUAUAGGACUUAUUUUUUUGGGAUAAUUGCAGAAACCUCCCCUGAGAUUUCUGACAUUUGCAAUGACCUUCCCUCUAGGUUUAGAAAUUGCAUUCACCUCCCCUGAACAUUAACAAUUCGUUGCAGAAACCUCCCUCACAGCUUGAUGUCCCAUUAAAAAAUUAUUUGUAGAAGUGAGAUAAAACAUUUCUUCCAAUUUUGCCCUCAUCUUGCUUGACAAUUAUUAUUUGCUUGACAAUUGCAUAACUAAUUAUCUAAUUAGUUAAUAGUUAAGCUAAUUAACUAUUAACUAAUUAACUAAUUAACUAAUUUCUAUUUAUCUAAUUUACUAAUUAACUAAAGCUGUUGUCUGUCUGAAACUAACAAACUAUUUGCAUGUUAACUGCUUAACUAAUUAACUAAUUAACUAACUAACUGAUUAACAGACUAUUUGCAUGUUAAACUAUAUGCAGUACGCAUUACCUAUUUAAAGUAUUGGCUCUUUAUGGGUAUUUUACUUUCAAAUAUUUAAUUUAUGAUAAAAACAUCAAUGUUUGUAAGUAAAAUUCAAAAAGUGUUACAGUAAUAUUCUUACAAAAAGGGAGGGAUAUAGGGCCAUAAAUUAAAUAUUUGAAAGUAAGAAUAUUGAUAUUUUUUGUAACACUUUUUGAAUUUUACUUACAAAUAUUGAUAUUUUUAUCAUAAAUUAAAUGUUUAAAAGUAAAAUACCCACAAAGAACCGAUACUUUAAAUAGGUAAUGCGUACUGCAUAUAGUUUAACAUGCAAAUAGUCUGUUAAUCAGUUAGUUAGUUAAUUAGUUAAGCAGUUAAUUAGUUAGUUAGUUUAACAUGCAAAUAGUUUGUUAGUUUCAGACAAACAACAGUUUUAGUUAAUUAGUUAAUUAGAUAAUUAGUAAAUUAGAUAAAUAGAAAUUAGUUAAUUAGUUAAUUAAUUAAUUGAUAAUUAGUUAGUUAAUUAGUUAAGCAGUUAAUUAGUUAAUUAGUUUAACAUGCAAAUAGUUUGUUAGUUUCAGACAGACAACAGCUUUAGUUAAUUAGAUAAUUAUUUAAUUAGUUAAUUAGAUAAAUAGAAAUUAGUUAAUUAAUUAAAUAAAUAAUUAGUUAAUUAGUUAAUAGUUAAUUAGAUAAUUAGUUAAUAGUUAAUUAGUUUAACUAUGCAGAAAUAGUUUGAUUAGUUAAUAACUAUUAACAAUUAGAUAAUUAGUUAUUAGUUUAACUAUGAAGAAAUAGUUUGAUUAGUUAAUUAGUUAAUUAGAUAAUUAAUUAAUUAGAUAAUUAGUUAAUUAGAUAAAAUAGAAAUUAGUUAAUUAGUUAAUUAAUUUAACUAUGCAGAAACAGUUUGAUUAGUUUAAUUUGUUUAACAAAUUAAACGUUGGUUUUGAUGAAAGUACUCAAACCUUUCAUCUGGUAAAGUCAAAUCCAAUAGGGGUACUCUAGUAAUUUCACACAAUUUUACCUUUUAAAUUAGUUCCAACUUUUUCUAGGGGAGGUUAAUGCAAUUUCAAAAUUGAUAGGGGAGGUCAGUGCAAAUGUCAGAAAUCUCAGGGGAGGUUUCUGCAAUUAUCCCUAUUUUUUUCUCAACUAAAAUUUAGCAACAUAGGAAAUCGAAGAUAAAAAAAAAUAUAUGCAUAGAAAAUAAAUAAAAGAAAAUUUGAGGGAAAAAAGAAUUCACGAAAAUAUAAAUUCACAAUAAUGCUAAAAGAAAUUCAAUAAAUCAAAAUUAUUAAAUUUAUAUAAAAAAGAAUUAAAAAAAGAAUACAAAAAAUAAAUUUGAGUAUUGGACGGAAUCAAUCCAUACCCAUUCCAAAGGUAUCUCGCCCAAAUUAAUCCCAAAAUAUAUAUGAAUAAAGUUGAAUUCAAACCCAUAUUACUCGGUCUCAUGUCAGGCCCAAAUAAAUCCUAUUCAUCCCGUCCAUUUUGCCACGACAAAAUUACCUCUUUCCUCUUCCUUCCCAUGUUUUCAAUCCAAUACCACCCAUAUCUAGACCCAACCAAAAACAAAGAGGAAAAAAUAAGUGCAGUAAAAGUCUUUGUCAUAUCCGAAUCAAAGUGUCAAACGGAGGUAAAUUACAUAGAAACUUCAAAAAUGAAAGAGAAAAAAAGAUACAAGCUCUUUUGUUUUUCUAGUAUAGAUAAGAACCCAUAUGAAAUGAAGAAACUCUACUUAGGAUUGGGAUUUUCCCCCUCCUCACCAUUUCUCAAAAGCUAAGCUGAAAAUUCUCCUUUUUUUUUGCCAAUUAUUUUUCCGUCAAAAGACUACGCGAAAUUGAGGGGCGUCGGAGCCUUGAGCCGGCAGAAUCCCCCAGCGGCAAGGUUCGAGCUCUUCGGAAACAGGGCAGAAGCCACGAGGGUGACCUUAUCAGCAGAAGCGGCAGCGGAACCAAAUUCAAAAACGGUGAUAUCAGCUGGUGGUGGGCCGGGCCGCCGGACCUCCACUGCUCCGUUUAUGGCGGGAACUUCAGAAGCGGAUUGGGUUUUUGGGUCACGGGUUUGGAGUUGGUAUCGUUUUUUGUUCCCUUGAACCAUGAAAAAAAUACCCAUUGGUGGUGAAUCACUUAUGUUGCUCACAAAAAGAAUUAGUUAGAACUUCUAGGCAAUCCAGUUUAUCUGAGGAAGAAAUCAAGAAAGAGGAUGGCUUUCGUUGAGGGCAAAAUGACGAGGAUGCCAUUUAAUUUUUUGUUACUAGUAUCAUAUUUUAGGACAGGAAUAGAACGAUAUUUAACUAUUAGUAGAUCAUCAUAUAGAGUAUAUAGAUUUUCAAUGUUAUUUCCCUGUGUAACAAACCAAGGAAAAUCUGAUGCAUUUUUUAUUUUUCUCUAUGUGGUUUGGAAAAAUGGAUCUAGAAAGCUACAUAUUUUUGGAUUGAGGAAUAAACACCAUGAUUCUGUGGCAUGAUGGAUGGAUUUGCAUUUUGGCCUUCAACUCUUUGCUGAGCUGCAUCUGCUGUGAGUCACCCUUUUAUUUGUUUAGUAUUUUUUUUCUCUUACAUACGCAGCUAGAAGUUGAGGAGCUUCUCAAAUCCCAUUUUUAUGCUCCUAAAAAAUUGGCAAAUCUAGAGAAACUUUAAGAAAUAAAUCAAAAUUGGGAUCAGACCCUUUUGUUAUCUAAAAUUGAAGAGUGAAAAGAAGAUUGUCAUUCUCAAAUUUGGCACUAUGCUAAUCUUUAUGUAGACUUACGGGCAAAUUGAUUCCUGUACUCAGUUAUCGUUGAGCUCAUGAUCUCACAAGUGCCUAUUUGGGGAGGUAGGUAAGAAUGCUUCAUUUGGUGAAGUUAAAAUUAAAGAAAAACAGUUAAAAAAAAUACAUUAACAAAAUGCAGCAUAUGAACAAGAUGAUGAUGCAAUGCAG
rnacentral:lncRNA from 1 species